rnacentral:rRNA from 1 species
GAUGAACGCUGGCGGCGUGCUUAACACAUGCAAGUCGAACGGGAUCCAAGGGGUGCUUGCACUUUUUGGUGAGAGUGGCGAACGGGUGAGUAACACGUGAGUAACCUGUCCUUUUCUUUGGGAUAAGCAUUCGAAAGGGUGUUUAAUACCUUAUGUCCUGUCUGCCUCGCAUGGGGUGGGUGGGAAAGGCUUUGGCCGGAUUUGGGUGGGCUCGCGGUCUAUCAGCUUGUUGGUGGGGUGAUGGCUUACCAAGGCUUUGACGGGUAGCCGGCCUGAGAGGGUGGUCGGUCACAUGGGGACUGAGAUACGGCCCAGACUCCUGCGGGAGGCAGCAGUGGGGGAUAUUGCACAAUGGGCGAAAGCCUGAUGCAGCGACGCCGCGUGGGGGAUGAAGGCCUUCGGGUUGUAAACUUCUUUUGCUCUGAACAAGGCAUGCCAGUGGGUGUGUUGAGUGUAGGGGUUGAUUAGCGCCGGCUAACUACGUG